CUACUAGGGUUUCUAAUCCCGUUUGCUCCCCUGGCUUUCGCGCCUCAGCGUCAGUGGGGACCCAGCGGACCGCUUUCGCCACCGGCGUUCCUUCCGAUAUCAACGCAUUUCACCGCUCCACCGGAAGUUCCGUCCGCCCCUAUCCCCCUCGAGCUCCGCAGUAUCGGGGGCCCUUUUCCGGUUGGGCCGAAAGAUUUCACCCCCGACUUGCCGAGCCGCCUACGCGCCCUUUAAGCCCAGUGAUUCCGAACAACGUUCGCACGGUUCGUCUUACCGCGGCUGCUGGCAC
rnacentral:rRNA from 1 species